UUGUGCUUUGAUACUAGACACCUAUGGCCCUAGGGCGAUAGUUGAAAGGAUAUUGGGUACGAUUAAAUGCUUGUAGAAUUAGUGAUUGAUCAAGACUGUCAACUCUUGGUAAUGAGUUUAAGCUCCAUGUUUUCAUGAAUAUAAACGACCAAACUAAGACCUUGGCCAGGGCAAUUGAAUGAAAGAAGAAAUGAGUUUCUNNNN
rnacentral:lncRNA from 1 species